UACGGGGGGGGGCAAGCGUUGUUCGGAAUUACUGGGCGUAAAGGGCUCGUAGGCGGCCAACUAAGUCGGACGUGAAAUCCCCAGGCUCAACCUGGGAACUGCGUCCGAUACUGGAUGGCUUGAAUUCGGGAGAGGGAUGCAGAAUUCCAGGUGUAGCGGUGAAAUGCGUAGAUAUCUGGAGGAAUACCGGUGGCGAAGGCGGCAUCCUGGACCGACAUUGACGCUGAGGAGCGAAAGCGUGGGGAGCAAACAGG
rnacentral:rRNA from 1 species